rnacentral:ncRNA from 1 species
AAAGUUUUAUUCUGGCUUAAUAGUUUAUUUUUGGGAUGUUUUACAUGUAAAUAUUUGUGAAUUAAUUAGUAAUCUAAAUGAUAAUUAUAGAUAGCAGUAUUUAAUAUUAGUAAUCAAGGUGACUUGGAAUUAGUAAUUUCAUAUGAAAUCGGUUAAAAGCGUGCCAGCUGCCGCGGUUAGACGUAGGAUAUAAGUAAACGUUUUAAGUUGAGAGUUAAUUUGAUAAGAAUUUAAGUUUAAAAUUGAUUUACAUAGGUAAAAUUAAGAAUAAUUGAUAUAAUUUAAGUUAAUAAAAUGAAGCUCUGAAAUUUCAGAAAUUAAACUAGGAUUAGAUACCCUAUUAUUUGAAAUAUAAAUAUUUAAAAGCUUGAGUAGUAAGAGUUAAGGGCUUGAAACUCAAAGAAUUUGGCGGUGUUUUAACCUAGUCAGAGGAAUCUGUCCCGUAAUUGAUAUUACACGUUAUAUUUUACUUGAUUUUGUAAUUUCAGUUUGUAUACCGCCGUCAUAAGAUUAUUCUUUGAGGAUAAUAAUUUUCUUUAUGUUAAUAAAAAUUUGUGUCAGGUCAAGGUGCAGCUAAUAAUUAAGUGGGAGAUGGAUUACAAUAGAAUUAUUUAUAACGGAAAUUAUAUUGAAAAAUAUGGUAAGAAGGUGGAUUUGAAAGUAAAAUUGUUAGAUUAUGAUAAUUUGACUUUAGCUCUAAAACAUGUACACAUCGCCCGUCGCUCUCAUUUUAAGGUGAGAUAAGUCGUAACAUAGUAGAUGUACUGGAAAGUGUAUCUAGAAAGUU